CUUUUGAUUGAUGGGUUAAUUAAUAGCAUGGGGUACUUCAUCUAGUGGAUAUAGAGCAUUUGGUAAUGUUACAAGAAUUCAGAGUUGAAACUGCAUGUUAUGUUCGUGGAAAAGCAGAAGCGCAAUUUGCAUGUCCUUACAAUUCCCUCGUCUAUAUUUAUUUAAGAUUACUAUCAGAUAGUAGCUUUGCUAAUUUGUUGGUUGCAUAAGCACUCACAAGUUGCAAAAGAUGUGUAUUUUUCUUGUGUUCCUCCUUCGUUUUUUUUUUUCCUUCUAUUUAGGGGAUUUCGGGUUUUUUUUUCCUGUGGUAUGAUGUGUUUUUUCUCAAUGUUCAACUAGGUUGUGAAAGAAAAUGAAGAACCGGCUGAGUUCCUAGCAUUGUUGAGUUCCCGGUAAUGCUAACAUGAUUGAGGACGCAUCAAGAAUUCCAGUAGAUCACUACCUCUUUCUUAUGUUUUCAGCUUCCACAAUUUUCCUGCAACAUUUUCUAGCUUUUGAGUAUAGUCCACCUGACUAUAAUGUGGAGGUAUGUAUCCAAAAUAUUUCUACCAAUAUAGUACAAACGACAUUUAGCUUGGCUUGAGAUUUUUGGGAACUACUUUCUUACAAAACAAAAGGAAUUCUUCAUUGUUAUCUAAAAGAAAGCUCUUUAGAUUUGGAUUAUGAUGUUAUCUUUUGAUCAUUCAGCCAUUCACUGAGGAGUAUGCUUUUGUUUAUUAUACUUGAGGAGUUCAAUGUCAUGUUUUAACAGAAAAGCAUAGUCAGUUACAGAACCGAAAAGAGAAGUAGAAGCUUAGGCCAUAGGCGGCAUAGUUGUUACCUUAAUGUGUUUGAAAUAAUAAUUACCCACUCUAAUCCAUUUCAUAUGACAUUCUUUUAUUUUUAGUCUGUUCCAAAAGAACGAUACCUUUCUACAUUUGGAAACUCUUUAACUUUUGUCUUUUCAUUUUUCCGUUAAUGACAAGCUCUUGCAUCCAUAUAAAUGUGAUGGUUUAGAAAUGUCAUGGUCAGAGGCGGACCCAGGAUUUUAAUGUGAUAAGGCACAAUAUUCUGCUCAACCGGUGCCCCCUUAAGGCUUUUAUUGUUUAGGGUGCCAAGUAAUUUAAAUUAAGUAAUCAUUUUCUAGAUAUAUACAUAUACAAAUACAAGAUUUCUACCGAAGUUCACGGGGUCCAGUGACCCCUCAACAUAACACAUAGGUCCGCCUCUGUUCAUGGUAUGUUUAAGACGAAAGUUCUAAAUGUACUUCUGUCGUUAUAUUAAUGUGGUUGAAAAAAAUCAUAAGUUGUGUUUGUUGCUCAAAUUUUUGCUGUUUUCUUCUGCAGGAGGCUGAUUUAGAAGUUGUCAGAGGUGGUUUACCUGAGAAUGUACAUGUACAGUGCUGAACACCCGAUGACCUUAGAGGCAAUUUGCUGACUUAACUUUCAUUGUACAUUUGCCGUGACUUAGAAAUUAGAAAUUUCAAAAGCCAGUUUAGGCAAAGCAUAGUGUUCUUAUUUUAUAU
rnacentral:lncRNA from 1 species